CCAUGGCUUGUUUGGCUUGGGUGUGUGCCAUAGCCUAUUCGGCUCUCGCCCCUCUGUCAUCCAUACACAUACAUCCAUAACUUUUGAACUUCUUCACGAGUGCACGAGGCUUUUACCGGCCCAUUCAAAUUUUCCUUCCAGACAUGGGAUUGAGUCUGAUUCUCCUUGUUUUCCAGGUGCCGAUUUUCUCAAUCCAAUCCCCUGUGGGGCGAAAGCAAAAAUCUAUCCUAGCAGCAAGCAGGUAUACAAGGGUGCUUGCUAGGAUUUUUGGUGGUGGCAAGAGACACCAUUGAAAGACGAACAGAGAGAAUUGGUAAUAACAUAAAUUAUUUUUUCUAGGCGAAAGCAAAUAAGGGGAGAUUUCGAUUCUGUUGGUAAUAAUGGAACAAUUCUGUUCGUAGGAACAAAGAGAAGCAGAUUUAUUCUAUACUCGAUAAGUACCAAUACGCAAUGGGGGGUUAAUAUCAUUUCCUAUGAACGAAUACGUCCAUACUUGUUCAUCAUUGGAAAGACCUAUUUGUAAUAAUUUUCCUUUAUUCAUUCUGUCUUCCUUUAUGAAAUUUUCUAAUUUAUGGCUAAAAUAUGAUAAAGACCCAUAUUAUAAAGACAAUAAACAAAUUGUUACGUUUCCACAUCAAAGUGAAAUAUAGUACUUAGUUCUUUUUUCUUUCAUUUAAUGCCUAUUGGUGUUCCAAAAGUACCUUUUCGAAGUCCUGGAGAGGAAGACGCAUCUUGGGUUGACGUAUAGCGCGACUUGCCAGAUAUAUUGGGCCAUAUCUUUGAAUGGUCCUAGAAAAGCAGUCGUAACUUAAAUUAUUAUAAACUAUGGAAGGCAUAGACAACUUUACGAUUAAAAGGAGGAAGAUAGCACGGUGUACCUCUUCUUUCAAUGAACAAAAGAUAAAAGAGCAGCAUAUGAAAAAGGAUGGAAUUAGUGGAUUGCCAGAUGAAAUCCUUAUUGCCAUCCUGUCUCUUUUGACGCUUAAGGAAGCUGCAUGUACUAGUAUUUUCUCACGCAGAUGGAGAUAUUUUUGGAGAUAUGUAACUGGUAGUUUCAACUUUGAUUCGAAGACACUACUGAGAGCUUCUGCAGAGGAUGGUACUUCAUCACCUAAAUUUGAUGAAAUGCAUACUUGUCGUUUCAACUUUCAUUCAAAGACACGAAUGAGAGUUCCUGCGAUGGAUGAUACUUCAUCACAUAAACUUGACGAAAAGCGUACUACGUAUGUAAGUUGGGUUAGUGAAGUCUUGAAAUUGCAUCUUGGCCCCUGUAUAGACGAAAUGAGGAUUUCUUUUGAUUUCCAUGGGCAGUACCCUCACGAUAUCUAUAUGAUUGGAUUAAGUUUGCAUUGGAAAAGGGUGUUCAAAGGUUUGAAUUGGAUGUGUUUGGUGGCGUUACUCCCGGUCAUUGGCAUCAUUUUUACCAUCUUCCUAGCAUGGAAAACUUCAAAUUCUUCUGUAGGACUUCACACAGUCAUCAUGUGUCAUGGACUAUUGGUUCUGCAGCUGGCUUUUGUUCCCUUAGAGCCCUUCGUUUGGUUGGUGUUAAUAUCAUGGGGGAGGUGCUUGAGAAUUUCCUAUCCAACUGUCCAUUUCUUGAACAAUUAGGCAUUGUGGGUACAACUUAUCUAGUGAAGCUAAAAAUUGCUGGUCCAUCACUCAAGUUGAAGUGCUUAGAGAUAUCUCAUUGCUGGCAUUUGGAAAAUCUGGAAAUUUCUGCUAUAAAUCUUGUUUCAUUCACUUAUUGGGGAAAAGAUAUAGGUGUGCAUUUUAAGAACGUUCCUCUACUCUCUGAGCUAUCUAUUGGGGGACAAUUCUCUACGUCCUUUGUUUCUAGAUCUUACAAGCAUUCCAGCUAUAUUCCUCAAAUAGAAAAGCUCAAGUUAGCAUUUUAUGUGCAAUAUCAUAUGCUCCCCAAGUAUUGCUGCAAGCUAGGUACUCAAGGAAGUGCAAAUUUUUUUCAUAGGAAAUGGUGGUGACAGCCUUAUUGGUUUGACUUCUGUGAUUAAGGCAUCUCCUAAUUUGUCUGAGUUUUCUGUUCGGUUUAUAAGGCCUGAUCAAAGUGCAUAUAUAAAUGCUGUAAAAGAGGCAACUAAAUGUCAUCAUCAUUGCCUUAAGGUGGUGGAAUUUGUUGGGUUUGAUGGGAGUAGCAACCCCGAAGUUGAUCUCGUCUUGCAUAUACUUGAAGUUGCUGCAUCACUGGAGAAGAUAAUUAUUGAUCCCCGUAGUUUGUAUCAUUCACCGAAACUGUACAGGAUGGAAGUUGCUAGAAAGCAUGCCAGGCAGCUAAAAACAAGAUUACCCGCAACCGUUGAAUUAGUGAUUCUUUAGUUAUUUAAAAAAGAAAUAAAAAAAUUCCGAGUCCCAUGUCUACUGGUUGAGAGGGAAACAAUUUCUAGUGAUUAUUUAUUGUUCUCGUUGUUUAUUAUCUAAAAGGCUCGGAAAUGUAUCUGCAGGGAUUGCAAUCCAAAGUAGAGAUAAGCAUCUAUGAUUUGCUAUGGAAAGCUUAACAUAGUUUCAGUUCGACAUUUUCAAACUGUUAUUAUCAUGUUAAUGUGUUGGGUUGUCUUAUAGGAUCUCAAGUAGCUCAUGAAUUGGGUUAUCAAACAUGAUCUUUGGCUAUGAAGUUAUGAUUUCUGAUCUUGAACACGUGUUAUUUAUUUGUUCAAGUGUUGGACUUGUUUUUGGAA